UAUAUAUUUAUAGUACUGUAUUUAUAGUAUUAUCAUUAUUUUAUUAUGAUUUUUUAAAAAUAGUGAUUAUCAAUUCAAUAACUUUUUUUAUCUGUAACUUGUUAAAAUAUUAUUAUCUUAUAUCAUUAUUUUUAUUUAAAUGUGCUAAAUCAAUUUUUGUUGUUUGUGAAAAGGUAAGUGUGGCGUGUGUUUGCACAUGUGUGUGUUACAUGUAAUCCGCAUGAUGAUAAUUUCAGGUGAUAUGAUUCGGUAGCUGAAUCAGGUCAGUGAUAAUCUAAUGUUUCCCCUCAUCUGGACAAUAAAGGUCAAUGCUCGUACCUAGACAUCAGCCCCAGGACACCUACUGUACCACACUGUGUGUGUCUGUGUGUUGCAAUGGUACACCAGAGUUUUCAAACAAAAUGCUUUUGAGUUUUUUCAUAUGAUCCAUGUUAUGAAUUUUAAUGCUUUCUGCAGUCAGAUUCACCCAGUUAUGUCAACAUGUUGAAGUGCUGUUGCAACCAUCACCAUAUGUCAUCCAUCGAGCGUCUAUGUCAUUAUUAAUACUUCUAGUGUAGUUAUUUUUAUUUUUCUGACAAGGUUCAAAGUUUUGACAAAGAUGGAUGUGUAAAGUAAAAAAAAAAAAAAAAAAUCCAACCCUUUUCAUCCAGAACAUUUUUUAAAUACAUAAUAUGCUGUUAAAUAUAGGAUUAUGCUAUCAUAAUAAACCAUUAAAUCAAAUAAUAACAAAUAAACAACGGAAAAUUAUCUCUUUAAUGUUUCAGUUAAUGAUAUGGACAUAUGGCCGUUUUGAUUUUCCACACAGUUCCACUGAUACUCCCAACGCUAGUGUUUCACAAUACUUGGGUCAGGAAAAACAGAAAGAAAGCACCAUAUGAAAUCUUAAACCUACUGUAUAACCUUUGAUGUUUCUUCUGCUUCAGAGAUAAAUUACAGAUGCUGGUCGAUGGAGCGUGAGAGAAAGACAACAUCAAAACAGCCAUGUGUGUGUGUGUGUGUGUGUGUGUGUGCGUUCACCUGGUGUUGCUCUUGCUUGACUGACUCUGGAAAUCGAAGGACUCCAGGAGUUACGAGGUGUCGUGUGGGGGCCUCACUCCCCUGUAUCUGUCAGGGUUCGAAACACACAUGCCGUGCAUAAUGCGUGCUGAUGGAGAGGGAAGAACAAACCCACACAGAUCAGAGAGCUGUGUUCCCCGGGACAGAGAGGGGUCUUCUGGGUACCGCUGAACUGACAACCCCUGGAGCAGAUACGCGGCACUCUGCACAAAUUGAACUGACAGCACUUUUUUUCCACUGAAAGUGUAAAGUCCUGAGUAGCAUAGAAUUGUGUUAUGUGGGGUUAUUUGCCUAGGCUGUUUAUACUGAGAGAAAAAAACACUCUUUUAUAAUGUUUUCAAUGGUGUUUACUCAUACUAAAAUACUGUGAACGAGUUUUCUGCAUUCAGCAGCAAUGUGACACCACUUCUAAAUCUACAGCAUGAAAUAGUGAGCGUAGUGCAGUUUGAUUCCUGAAUGAACAACUCUGGUUCUUAUUUUUUUUGUGUGAUCAGUAUAGUCCAAUUUCAAAGGAAUACAUCUUUUGAACCUGUUUUGUAAAUCAGAAAUAUACAGUGCGACUAGUACUAAAUGAAAUGACUCUUAUGAGUCUGCAAUUUUUUGUGAAUCACACUUACAGUGCAACCAGUGCACUUAAAUUCCUG
ensembl:lncRNA